GGUUCCCCCAUAGGAUCUUCAGGGAGCUGCAGUGACACCAGAGGAGGGCUACUGGAAAUGGCACCAGGACAUCAUAUUCGGUGCUACCUUGAAGAUGGGAUAAAGAUGGACACAAAGGUGAACCUGGCCUUGUUGUGGAUGAAUAUUGAAGAUAUGCUCAAGAGGAGAGAGAAGCCAGCAGGGGUGCACCUGAGAGGGUGAUUCUGAGUAAGAUGGAGGCUGAGGCAGCUUGCCUGCACCCUGUGUGGGUAGGAGACCCCCCAAAACACCCACCCACACACAUCUCCCCUGACUGAUCCUGCCUCACAUCUAAGCAUCUUUGGAUGAUUCCGUUCCUUCUCACAUACCAGUCUGGACAGGCUGUGGACAAACUGCCUAUCACCUAUGUGAAGCUGUGCACACCUCCACAAUAGGGUCACACAAUGAAGGAACAGUUACUUACGAAAAGAGAAGAAGACGCAUGAGGCAGGUGUUGGAGUAAAUCAUCAGAAGACAAGCUACACGAGGGAAGCCUGCAGUCUCUGCGGCAAUGGCUCCGUGCUGCCCAGGGGCUAGCUCAUGGUCUGGCUGGCUCUUUCUUCCUCAUUCCUUUGUUCUAACUCAACAUAAAUGGACUGGC
ensembl:lincRNA C130026L21Rik RIKEN cDNA C130026L21 gene